CCUACGGGAGGCAGCAGUGGGGAAUCUUAGACAAUGGGCGCAAGCCUGAUCUAGCGAUGCCGCGUGAGUGAUGAAGGCCCUAGGGUCGUAAAGCUCUUUCGCCAGGGAUGAUAAUGACAGUACCUGGUAAAGAAACCCCGGCUAACUCCGUGCCAGCAGCCGCGGUAAUACGGAGGGGGUUAGCGUUGUUCGGAAUUACUGGGCGUAAAGCGCGCGUAGGCGGAUUAGAAAGUAUGGGGUGAAAUCCCAGGGCUCAACCCUGGAACUGCCUCAUAAACUCCUAGUCUAGAGUUCGAGAGAGGUGAGUGGAAUUCCGAGUGUAGAGGUGAAAUUCGUAGAUAUUCGGAGGAACACCAGUGGCGAAGGCGGCUCACUGGCUCGAUACUGACGCUGAGGUGCGAAAGUGUGGGGAGCAAACAGGAUUAGAUACCCUGGUAGUCCACACCGUAAACGAUGAAUGCCAGACGUCGGGUAGCAUGCUAUUCGGUGUCACACCUAACGGAUUAAGCAUUCCGCCUGGGGAGUACGGUCGCAAGAUUAAAACUCAAAGGAAUUGACGG
rnacentral:rRNA from 1 species